rnacentral:rRNA from 1 species
ACUGGGCGUAAAGCGCGCGUAGGUGGUUGAGUAAGCGAGAUGUGAAAGCCCCGGGCUUAACCUGGGAACGGCAUUUCGAACUGCUCGGCUAGAGUGUGGUAGAGGGUAGUGGAAUUUCCUGUGUAGCGGUGAAAUGCGUAGAUAUAGGAAGGAACACCAGUGGCGAAGGCGGCUACCUGGACCAACACUGACACUGAGGUGCGAAAGCGUGGGGAGCAAACAGGAUUAGAUACCCUGGUAGUCCACGCCGUAAACGAUGUCAACUAGCCGUUGGGGAUCUUGAAUCCUUAGUGGCGCAGCUAACGCACUAAGUUGACCGCCUGGGGAGUACGGCCGCAAGGUUAAAACUCAAAUGAAUUGACGGGGGCCCGCACAAGCGGUGGAGCAUGUGGUUUAAUUCGACGCAACGCGAAGAACCUUACCUGGCCUUGACAUGCAGAGAACUUUCCAGAGAUGGAUUGGUGCCUUCGGGAACUCUGACACAGGUGCUGCAUGGCCGUCGUCAGCUCGUGUCGUGAGAUGUUGGGUUAAGUCCCGUAACGAGCGCAACCCCUAUCCUUGGUUGCUAGCAGGUAAUGCUGAGAACUCCAGGGAGACUGCCGGUGACAAACCGGAGGAAGGUGGGGAUGACGUCAGGUCAUCAUGGCCCUUACGGCCAGGGCUACACACGUGCUACAAUGGCGUAUACAGAGGGCUGCCAACUCGCGAGAGUGAGCCAAUCCCUUAAAGUGCGUCGUAGUCCGGAUCGCAGUCUGCAACUCGACUGCGUGAAGUCGGAAUCGCUAGUAAUCGCGAAUCAGAAUGUCGCGGUGAAUACGUUCCCGGGCCUUGUACACACCGCCCGUCACACCAUGGGAGUGGAUUGCACCAGAAGUGGUUAGUCUAA